rnacentral:rRNA from 1 species
GGAAUUUCAUAAAAUUUCUUUUUUAAUUUUAAAAAUUGAAAUUAAUUUUAUAUGUGAAGAAACAAUAAUAAAAAUUAAGGACAAGAAGACCCUAAGAAUUUUAAAAAUUUCAAUAUAAUAUUAUAUUAUAUUGAAAUUUUUUAAUUGGGGCGAUUAUUAAAUAUUAAAAACUUUAAUUUUUUUUAAAAAAGAACCAAUAUUAUUGGUUAUUUGAGAAAAUACU